GGUGGUUCUGGGGUGAGGCACCCAAGAAUUGGGAUCCCUCCUCUCUGGUUCCAGGUGCAUCACCCUAGAACCACA
rfam:Myotis brandtii contig277293, whole genome shotgun sequence.